UCCCUUGUGGCUCAGCUGGUAAAGAAUCUGCCUGCAAUGCAGGAGACCUGGGUUUGAUCCCCGGGUUGGGAA
rnacentral:tRNA from 1 species